GAAACACAACCUUUGAAGAUUCUUUGAUUCUGGGUGUUUCGACAAAGGACUCCCAACAUGAAGCUGAAGCAGCUCGAAAGCCUCCUAGGUAGUCUCCAACAGUUCCCAAACCCAAAGGUGGAGCUGGAACAAUACCCAACCGGAGCCCACAUUGCAGCUCGCAUGCUUUACACUGCAGAGAAUUCAUUUGGGGAUGUGUGUGACAAGGUUGUGGCGGAUUUUGGCUGUGGUUGUGGUACAUUGGGGGUGGCAGCUGGACUCUUGGGUGCAGAACAUGUGAUUGGCAUUGACGUUGAUCCAGAAUCUCUUGAAUUAGCUUCACUAAAUGCUGAGGAACUUGAGUUGGACAUAGAUUAUAUUCAAUGCAACAUCAAGAGCUUAGGAUGGAGAGCUGAAGUUGUUGAUACCGUUAUAAUGAAUCCUCCAUUUGGAACUCGGCAAAAGGGUGCUGACAUGGAUUUUCUCUCUGUGGCUCUGAAGGUUGCUUCUCAAGCUGUUUAUUCCUUACAUAAAACCUCCACAAGAGAUCAUGUGAAAAGGGCAGCCUUGCAGCAGUUCAAUGCUACCAGUGCUGAGGUUAUAUGUCAGCUUCGAUAUGAUUUACCUCAAACAUACAAGUUUCAUAAGAAACGAGAUGUGGAUAUAGCUGUGGACUUGUGGCGAUUUGUUCCCAAGAGUAAGCAUGGUCCGUAGAUUAAGCACAUGCAUGGUGUAUUAUGGGUGAAAAAUAUACACUGAAUGUUAAGGGAUCACCCCGGAACUUUUACAGUUGUGAUUAAAUGAAACGAAGAUAAAAAUUGAUGCCUUUCCCCGCUUAAGUCAAGACCUAUUCGCUGCAAGAAGCUCAAAUUGAGGCCUUGGAGAAGAUUACUGUGAAUGUGGGGGUUCAUAUGCAGACCAAGCAAAAAUUUGUCUUCCACUCUACAUUGGAGUUUGAUCAUCUAGUUAGUUAAUAUGAGAUUUGAUCAAGUCCCCUACUAAUUAAUAUGUUUAUUUAUACGGAAUGAGGUCAGCACAAAAUAAAUAUAUCCUUUUCCUAGCUGAAGUGGAGAAACUCUCCGUUGGAAUUUAGGAUUCCAGCCAAGAGCUUAUGAAUAUAUGUACAGAAGGAUUUGUUUAGCUAGA